GACGAACGCUGGCGGCGUGCUUAACACAUGCAAGUCGAACGGUGAAGCGCCUUCCUUUUUGGUGGGUGUGGAUGAGUGGCGAACGGGUGAGUAACACGUGAGUAACCUGCCCCCUUCUUCUGGAUAACCGCAUGAAAGUGUGGCUAAUACGGGAUAUUCUGGGUCUGUCGCAUGAUGGGUCUGGGAAAGAUAUUGUUUCGGUGGGGGAUGGGCUCGCGGCCUAUCAGCUUGUUGGUGGGGUGAUGGACUACCAAGGCGGUGACGGGUAGCCGGCCUGAGAGGGUGGACGGUCACACUGGGACUGAGACACGGCUCAGACACCUACGGGAGGCAGCAGUGGGGAAUAUUGCACAAUGGGCGCAAGCCUGAUGCAGCGACGCCGCGUGAGGGAUGGAGGCCUUCGGGUUGUGAACCUCUUUCGCCAGUGAAGCAGGCCUGCCUCGUUUGUGGGUGGGUUGACGGUAGCUGGAUAAGAAGCGCCGGCUAACUACGUG
rnacentral:rRNA from 1 species